rnacentral:rRNA from 1 species
UGGGGAAUAUUGCACAAUGGGCGCAAGCCUGCUGCAGCCAUGCCGCGUGUAUGAAGAAGGCCUUCGGGUUGUAAAGUACUUUCAGCGGGGAGGAAGGCGAUAAGGUUAAUAACCUUGUCGAUUGACGUUACCCGCAGAAGAAGCACCGGCUAACUCCGUGCCAGCAGCCGCGGUAAUACGGAGGGUGCAAGCGUUAAUCGGAAUUACUGGGCGUAAAUCGCACGCAGGCGGUCUGUCAAGUCGGAUGUGAAAUCCCCGGGCUCAACCUGGGAACUGCAUUCGAAACUGGCAGGCUAGAGUCUUGUAGAGGGGGGUAGAAUUCCAGGUGUAGCGGUGAAAUGCGUAGAGAUCUGGAGGAAUACCGGUGGCGAAGGCGGCCCCCUGGACAAAGACUGACGCUCAGGUGCGAAAGCGUGGGGAGCAAACA